AGAAUUAGCUCCGCGCUUUCUGUUCAAAUCACUGGACAUUCUAAUGGCGUCGUCUUCUACACCUUCAUGCGAUAUUCUAUAAAUGGGGCCAUGUCAACUUCAUUACAAUCAAACAAGUACGAGAAUAAGCUCCGCACUUUCUGUUCAAAUCACUGGACAUUCUAAUGGCGUCGUCUUCUACACCUUCACGGGGACGUUUGGUGUCUAAUAAUGAAGAUAGUGGGAACAGACAUCAAUUAACUCCGCCCUCAUCUUUCCAAGUAUGUUGCUUUAAUCUUUAUUCACUUUUAUAUUAAUUGUUCACUUUUUCUCUAUUUGAAUUUAUGAUGCUUUAUGUUUAUUUAAUACUUUUUAAAAAAAAUAAUGAUAAAUUUGUGUAGAGCGUUUGGCAUUCACAUUCC